AGAACGAACGCUGGCGGCGUGGAUAAGACAUGCAAGUCGAGCGAGAUUUUUUCUUGUAGCAAUACAGGGAAAAGUCUAGCGGCGAACGGGUGCUUAACACGUGGGAAAUUACCAAGAAGUGGGGGAUAGCUCGGCGAAAGCCGAAUUAAUACCGCAUAUGAUCGCAAGAUCAAAGCCGGGGACCGCAAGGCCUGGCGCUUUUUGAGAUGCCCGCGGCCCAUCAGCUAGUUGGCGAGGUAAAAGCUCACCAAGGCUAUGACGGGUAGCUGGUCUGAGAGGACGACCAGCCACACUGGAACUGAGACACGGUCCAGACACCUACGGGUGGCAGCAGUCGAGAAUUUUUCACAAU
rnacentral:rRNA from 1 species